UAGACAGACGUUAUUUUGAAUAUAAAUCCUGUUUAUUAAUUUAAUCCUAAUGUUUAUAAUUAAAAGCUUAUUGUUGUUACUACAAGUAAUAUUGUUUGUUGAUUGUCAUCUUGUUGGAGAUAAAGUUGUAGUGUCUGAGUUGAAGAAGGUUUGUGAACAUGCGUACAUAUGCUUUCAUGACAUGGUCAUCGUUUGCGGCAAGUCGGUUAACGAGGCGAGAACAUUUUUAGACUUGUGUGAUCUGUACGAGUAUUCCUGCGAACAUAAUAUGGUUUUCAGGCACGUGAAAGAAGAAGAAGGCGUUUGUCCAAACCCAAGGGAACUGCCAUCAGGCUUCGGAUAAUUUCAGCUAAUAUUAUAUUAAAUUU